rnacentral:misc_RNA from 1 species
UACGUAGGGAGCAAGCGUUGUCCGGAAUUAUUGGGCGUAAAGAGCGUGUAGGCGGCCCUGCAAGUCCGAUGUGAAAACCGGAGGCUCAACCUCCGGCUUGCAUUGGAAACUGUAGGGCUAGAGUCCGGAAGAGGAGAGUGGAAUUCCUGGUGUAGCGGUGAAAUGCGCAGAUAUCAGGAGGAACACCUGUGGCGAAGGCGGCUCUCUGGUACGUGACUGACGCUGAGACGCGAAAGCGUGGGUAGCGAACAGG